GUGGCUUCCGGAGCUAACUCGUUAAGUCGACUCGCCUGGGGAGUACGGCCGCAAGGUUAAAACUCAAAUGAAUUGACGGGGGGCCGCUCAAGCGGUGGAGCAUGUGGUUUAAUUCGAUGCAACGCGAAGAACCUUACCUGGUCUUGACAUCCACAGAACUUUCCAGAGAUGGAUUGGUGCCUUCGGGAACUGUGAGACAGGUGCUGCAUGGCUGUCGUCAGCUCGUGUUGUGAAAUGUAGGGUUAAGUCCCGCAACGAGCGCAACCCUUAUCCUUUGUUUCCAGCGGUCCGGCCGGGAACUCAAAGGAGACUGCCAGUGAUAAACUGGAGGAAGGUGGGGAUGACGUCAAGUCAUCAUGGCCCUUACGACCAGGGCUACACACGUGCUACAAUGGCGCAUACAAAGAGAAGCAAUCUCGCGAGAGCUAGCGGACCUCAUAAAGUGCGUCGUAGUCCGGAUUGGAGUCUGCAACUCGACUCCAUGAAGUCGGAAUCGCUAGUAAUCGUGAAUCAGAAUGUCACGGUGAAUACGUUCCCGGGCCUUGUACACACCGCCCGUCACACCAUGGGAGUGGGUGCAAAAG
rnacentral:rRNA from 1 species